rnacentral:piRNA from 1 species
UGGGAAUCUCUUCUUCCUGUUGGAUUGU